rnacentral:rRNA from 1 species
AACAUCGCCUCCUGAUAACCAAAUAUAGGAGGUCCAGCCUGCCCGGUGACAAUAGUUUAACGGCCGCGGUAUUUUGACCGUGCAAAGGUAGCGCAAUCACUCGUCCUUUAAAUAGGGACCUGUAUGAAUGGCUAAACGAGGGCUUAACUGUCUCCCCCUUUAAGUCAGUGAAAUUGAUCUAUCCGUGCAGAAGCGGAUAUAAUAAUACAAGACGAGAAGACCCUUUGGAGCUUAAGGUACAAGAAUUAAAUCACACCAAACAAACCAAUAAACGUAACUAAUUCAGUGAAAAAUAAAUCUUUACCUUCGGUUGGGGCGACCACGGAGCAAAAAGUAACCUCCAAGUGGAGCGGGUAUAACCCUAAAACCAAGAAAAACAUUUCUAAGCCUCAGAACAUCUGACCAAAAAUGAUCCGGUCAUCUAUAAACCGAUCAACGAACCAAGUUACCCUAGGGAUAACAGCGCAAUCCUCUCCAAGAGUCCAUAUCGACGAGGGGGUUUACGACCUCGAUGUUGGAUCAGGACAUCCUAAUGGUGCAGCCGCUAUUAAGGGUUCGUUUGUUCAACGAUUAAUAGUCCUACGUGAUCUGAGUUCAGACC